AUAUAUAUAUAUAUAUAUAUUACCAUUAUUUAACAUCCAUUUUCCAUACUGGUAUGGAUUGGCUGAUUUGACUGGAUCUGGCAAGGCCAAGGGCUGCACUAAGCUCCAUUGUCUGAUCUGGCAGGGUUUUCUACAGCUGGAUGCCCUUCCUAACGCCAACCACUCCGAGAGUGUAGUGGGUGCUUU